AUCUGGCCUAGACCCAGACUGGGGCUGGCCCUGCUGGCAGACUUAGUGAAUGCUCCCCCGGCCCCCGCCCCACCAAGCCUCCCAGGAGGGGAGGAGCUUGGUGACAGCAGAACUGUGGGCUAGUCACUGGGUAGUGGGCCACCCUGGUCACCACUUGUGUCUCUCUGGGCUCCAGUUUUCUAGACUUGAGGCACAAGUCCCUAGGCCACCCUUCAGGAGCCACUGAGCAGUUGGCUGGUGCUCUCCGAAAAUCAGAAGUGGGAAAGUGGCCCCCACCCCCUACCCCAUCACCCCACCCACCCCAGCGCAUCCUGCCCGAGGCCCACCAUUUUCUGCCCGCAAGCUACGUCAGCUUCUAAAAAUAAGUCUUUUCUGUGUGGCCAGCUGUGCAGGGGAGGGAGUUCUGCCUGGCACCUGCUCCCCUGCCCAUGAGGAACCAGAGACCUUGACUCAGGCAGUCAAGAUGAACUGCCCCCCACAUCCAGCUCUCUCUCCCAGAGCCCGGGGCUUCUGCGGUAAAGACAAGAGCGGCUGAACUGAACUUUCACACCCCCAGUCCCAGGGGUGGGCCUGAGGGAACUGAAAUGGAAGUAGCUGGCCAAGUACUAACAUGAGUCCUCAGAAGUCAUUCUGCAACCUUGUAUCUGCUUCCCGAGCCUCAGUUCUCACAUUUCUCAAAUGGGGAUGAGUCUACCCUCCCAGUGAGGCCCCCAGUCAGCGUGAAGGAGUGACGGUUACCACUACUGAGAUGAGGAUGGGAAGACGGUGCCAACGACGGUGAUCUCAGGGUCCUGGAAGUGGAAUGACCAGCUUAAAGGGCAAGGACGCUUUCUAAAGCAAAAAUUAGGCUGGACGCGGUGGCUCACGCCUGUAAUCCCAACACUUUGGGAGGCAGAGACAGACGACUGUCUUGAGGUCAGGAGUUCAAGACCAGCCUGGUGAACAUGGCAAAACCCCAUCUCCACUAAAAAUAUGAAAAUUGGGAAGAUGCUGUGGCUCACGCUUGUAAUCCCAGCACUUUGGAGAGGCAGAGGCAAGUGGAUCACCUGAGGUCAAGAGUUCAACACCAGCAUGGCCAACUUGAUGAAACUCCGUCUCUAAUAAAAAUACAAAAAUUAGCCGAG